rnacentral:lncRNA from 1 species
UUGAAUGGAGGAGCCAUUAGAGCCUGCUUUAAUAUCCUUUCUGGGCAACUCAAACUGGUUCUUCUCGCACCAUUGCAGAAUUAGGUUGCGAAGGGCAUAGUUUGGUGCCAGCGACAAGUGGACUAAAGUUUGUCCUGUCUUUGGGCAGGUAUGAUGAUCUGAAUCCAGCCACUUCUGUAUGCUUUCCCGUUCAUAAGUCUUUAAAAUGCCAGGAAAAACAAUGUCUGAUUGAAUUACGGUAGAUAACAUAGCUAGAAUGAUGCAAAAACUUUCAUAUAGUUCAUAUGAAAUUACCUGUCCAGUUGCAACAAUAACAGGAUCUGUCAUGAUCUCCAGCGAGAUUGGACAGAGGAACUCGUGAGGAAUCACCAAAGACGGGCACUUCUGUAGAUUUCUCGACAAAACUGGACCAUCAAGCACACUGGAUUCCUCCAUCCCAGCCAGUUUUUUGAACUUUCCCAAAAGCUCUACUAUUUGCUGACUG